rnacentral:rRNA from 1 species
CCUACGGGAGACAGCAGUGAGGAAUAUUGGUCAAUGGACGCAAGUCUGACCCAGCCAUGCCGCGUGCAGGAAGACGGCUCUAUGAGUUGUAAACUCCUUUUGUACGAGGGUAAACGCAGAUACGCGUAUCUGUCUGAAAGUCUCGUACGAAUAAGCAUCGGCUAACUCCGUGCCAGCAGCCGCGGUCAUACGGAGGAUUCAAGCGUUAUCCGGAUUUAUUGGGUUUAAAGGGUGCGUAGGCGGUCGGAUAAGUUAGAGGUGAAAUCCCGAGGCUCAACUUCGGAAUUGCCUCUGAUACUGUUCGGCUAGAGAGUAGUUGCGGUAGGCGGAAUGUAUGGUGUAGCGGUGAAAUGCUUAGAGAUCAUACAGAACACCGAUGGCGAAGGCAGCUUACCAAGCUACUACUGACGUUGAGGCACGAAAGCGUGGGGAGCAAACAGGAUUAGAUACCCCAGUAGUC